rnacentral:rRNA from 1 species
GGGAUAGAAUUCCAGGAGUAGCGGUGAAAUGCGUAGAUAUCUGGAGGAAUACCAAAGGCGAAGGCAGUCCCCUGGUCCGAUACUGACACUGAGGUACGAAAGCGUGGGGAGCAAACAGGAUUAGAUACCCUGGUAGUCCACGCCCUAGACGAUGUCGAUUAGCCAUUGGAAGGACCCCUUUUCCUUUCAGUGACGUAGCUAACGCGUUAAAUCGACCGCCUGGGAAGUACGACCGCAAGGUUAAAACUCAAAGGAAUUGACGGGGACCUGAACAAGCGGUGAAUGAUGUGGAUUAAUUCGAUGCUACGCGAAGAACCUUACCUACCUUUGACAUGGCCAAAGUUCUACCGAGAGGCGGAAGUACUCGUAAGAGGAUUGGCGCACAGGUGCUGCAUGGUUGUCGUCAGUUCGUGUCGUGAGAUGUUGGGUUCGUCCCGCAACGAACGCAACCCUUAUCUUUAAUUGCUCCUAUUUUAACAGGCACUUUAAAGAAACUGCCAAUGAUAAGUUGGAGGAAGGUGGGGAUCACGUCAAGUCCGCAUGGCCUUUAUAGGUAGGGCUUCACACGUCAUACAAUGGUUAGAACAAAGAGCUGCAAAUUCGUAAGAAGGAGCCAAUCUCACAAACCUAACCUCAGUUCGAAUUGCGGUCUGCAACUCGAGCGCAUGAAGCCGGAAUCGCUAGUAAUCGUGGAUCAGAAUGCCACGGUGAAUACGUUCUUAGGUCUU